GCUCUGGUGGCCUAGUGGUUAGAGCAUCCGUCUUGGAUGCGGGAGAUUGCAAGUUUGAACCUUGAUUGAGUCAUAUCAAAGUA